AAAUAUGCCAUCAUUCUCCUUAAGUCCGCCAUUAUUGUCAAUGUUCGACCAUUUUAAAGCACUUUAGUACAAAAUAAAAAAGGGCGUGCAUGACGAGGGAUAAAUGAAUGAAUCUUACUUUAAACAUUAAUUAUGGAGCCAAAUCAAAUAACCAUGUUGCCAGUAAUACUGAUAAAUUACUAAAAAUUAUAUAUUUUAAAAAUAUUAAAAAAUUAAAAUACAAUUUUUAUAAAAAAUUGAUUUUAUUACCAUAUACAAUUUUUAUAUCAAUAUUUUAAAUGUGAUUAGCGAGUAUAUACUUUAUUAAAAGAUACAACAAUUUUUAUAAUUUUUUAAAAGUUUUAAAAAAAUUUAGGGACAUAAGAGAAAUUUCCAAAAAUUAUGAAGACCAAGGCUGAAGGCUCGCCUGCCUCCUAUUACCAUCAGCCCCUGGACAUAAUUUAGUUGUUUUUGUGACAGUGCUAAAAUUAGUCUAUGUUUCAUUUUCAAAUAUUAACUUAGAAAGCAAGGAUAUAAAAGAGAAAAGGUAGCGAAAUGAAAAACUUUCAAACAAAUUUUAAUCUUAUCGGAUUAGUAACUUAAAUGCUUUGGUCCAACUUAAAUGCGUUUAAUGGAUGCUUAUAAUAAGGGAAAACAUGAAACUUGGAGAAAAAGAAACCCUCCCCUCUCUCUCUCUCUCAAUCCAGCAGGUAAUGGAUCUAUGCUUCUUCAUUGCAUUGUCAGGCUGGUUUAUUGUCAAUGAAGCAUUUAGUUGGUCGAUCUAGCAUUCAGCAAUCUAAAUUUCUCUUUAAAACCUAACAGCGAGGAAGAUCUGAGAAAAAUAAAAAAAACCCAAUUAGCAAAUAUGAAAUUACAAGAAGUCUUUAAUUCAUAAUAUUUUUAAUACCACAAAAAAAAAAAGAAGAGAGUAAUUACUGAAGUUGGUGAACAGGGCCAGCUAAUAUUGUAAUGAAUAGGCUGUGUGAAGAGGGAGACCCAUAAACUUAAAAUCGGCCGCACAUGGUGGAGCGUAUGAGGAAAUUGGGUUAGCAUGGGGCAAUGCCUAUGAAUGCGGUGGAUGCUUGAAAGUUGAAAAGCCUCACUGAAUUAACGUCAUAAGAAAAUGUUGGGGAGUCACUGCAGUGUUAGGUAAAUCAUUUAAACCGAGGAAGCCAUUGAUUACUCCACUGCAACUCUUGUUGAGUAAAACCAUUUAAACUGGACUGCCCACUCA
rnacentral:lncRNA from 1 species